GGCUCUGUGGCGCAAUGGAUAGCGCAUUGGACUUCUAAUUCAAAGGUUGUGGGUUCGAAUCCCACCAGGGUCG